rnacentral:rRNA from 1 species
GACGAACGCUGGCGGCGUGCCUAAUACAUGCAAGUAGAACGCUGAAGGAGGAGCUUGCUUCUCUGGAUGAGUUGCGAACGGGUGAGUAACGCGUAGGUAACCUGCCUGGUAGCGGGGGAUAACUAUUGGAAACGAUAGCUAAUACCGCAUAAGAGUAGAUGUUGCAUGACAUUUGCUUAAAAGGUGCAAUUGCAUCACUACCAGAUGGACCUGCGUUGUAUUAGCUAGUUGGUGGGGUAACGGUUCACCAAGGCGACGAUACAUAGCCGACCUGAGAGGGUGAUCGGCCACACUGGGACUGAGACACGGCCCAGACUCCUACGGGAGGCAGCAGUAGGGAAUCUUCGGCAAUGGACGGAAGUCUGACCGAGCAACGCCGCGUGAGUGAAGAAGGUUUUCGGAUCGUAAAGCUCUGUUGUAAGAGAAGAACGAGUGUGAGAGUGGAAAGUUCACACUGUGACGGUAUCUUACCAGAAAGGGACGGCUAACUACGUG